rnacentral:rRNA from 1 species
UACGUAGGGGGCAAGCGUUGUCCGGAAUCAUUGGGCGUAAAGCGCGUGUAGGCGGCCAGAAAAGUCCGCUGUGAAAACUCGAGGCUCAACUUCGAGCUGUCGGUGGAAACUUUCUGGCUAGAGUCCGGAAGAGGAGAAUGGAAUUCCUGGUGUAGCGGUGAAAUGCGCAGAUAUCCGGAGGAACGCCAGUGACGAAGGUGGCCACCUGGCCCUCGCCUGACACUGAGACGCGAAAGCGUGGGGAGCGAACAGG